rnacentral:lncRNA from 1 species
CUACUUUUAUAGGAGAACCCAGAUAAGGUUAAAAGUAGGAUAGCUGUCAUAGCAAUCACAGUCUCAGAACAAAAAUGAUACAAAGAUGACAUCUCUUAAAACUCAGAUUUACAGCACUAAGAACUUUGGAAUUAAAGGCACUAUGGUGUCUACCAGCCAGCCAAUAAUGUCAGCUUAACUUUGUUAUCACUGUGGCCCCUAAAGUGCUGCCUCAUAAUAAAGUUUAUCGACCGCACUUUUCCAUUUAUUGUUAUUCCAUAAAGUCCUGAAAAGAUUCUUAAUCAGCAAGACAGAUGGACUGGCACUUUGUUCGCUGAAGGGCUCGGCUGCGACUGAGACAGGGAUUUUGUUAUUUGCGGGUGUUUGACUUCCUUCUCCCACAUCUCCUCCUAUUUUAGUUUCUUUUUUUCCACUAUUUUCAUUUUUGUCUACAUUUCACCUCCCAUUCUUUAACUCUCUUCCCUCACUGUUUAUUUGUUCAAAGUAUUCUAAAGUUUUCAGAACAACCUGGAAUCAGAUUUAUAUUAGCAUUCUGGGUCUUAUAACUCUUUUUGAAAAAAACAAGUUUCCUUUUCCUCCUAUGGUUCAAAAUCCCCUCUUUCCACUUCUAAACAUUAAAACAUGCUGAACUUGUGAAAUCCACAGCUUUGCAAGAAACUUGCCAGCAAACAUAUGCCAUAUUAAGAAAAUGAAAGUUCUGAAUUUCAAAAAUAUUCUGUUAAAUUAUUUCUCAAAUAAAAAACAUUUCAAUCUUUUGCUACAAGUAUAUACAAACAUGAAACACCAAGUAAAUAUUUGGCCUCUUUGUAACUUUUCUCUCUGUUUGAGACUUCUUGCACACCCAUGAUUUUUCCUUUUUACUUCUUUUGUGAUUUUUAAGAUUUGGCCCACCAAGGAGAGAGGAUGAACAAUGAGUUCCCACUCUCCUGCAAAAAAUGUCCCAUUUAUUAUUCCAAAGAACUGAUUUUUCCAUCCCUAAAAUCUCUCAUGCACACAGAGAUCGGAUUCCUUAACUACGAAUCUCUAACUAGAUGCGCAUGCCACUCUCUCUCUCUCUCUCUCUCUCUCAAUUCUCACCAAUGAUCCUAAUUCUCACGGUACCACUUCCCAACUGUCCCUCUACCCCAAUCCAUUCCAAUGGAUAUCUUGCAUUUUUUCUCUUUAUUAUUCCAUUCAAAUCUCUUUAAUAGUAUCCUUAUAUAGUACAUCAGAAAAAAAAUAAAUCUUUCGUAUACACUCUUUAUACACACACCCCUUGCAUUUUUUCCUCUUUACCAUUCAAUUCUUUUUAACAGAUCCUAAAUUAGUACAUCACCACCCCUUGAACAUGGCAAAAAAUAAAUAUUUUGCAUACAACAUUUAUGCAGACACACAGAGACACCCAUGUGCACAUGCCACACACAAACUUCCUGUUGAUUCUCUCUCUCUCUCUCGGAACAAGAAAGGUUAAGUCUAGGGAAUGUGAGUGUGCUUAAGAAUUUACAUCAAUAAUCCAGAUAUAUCAAGUGCCAUUGAGAUCACAUCUCAAAGGUUGCAACUAGUUACAGCCUCCACCAUUAGACUUGUUCACGGCCCAGGCCCAGGCCCAGGCCACCACUGCCUUUGGACCUGCUUUGCAAGCCCAAGCCCUGCCCUAACUCGGACUUCAGGCUUCGGGCUGAGCCUCGAGCUUCCUCACCCUUUUUCACCAUUUUUUAAAAAAUAUGAAAAAUAAUUAAAAUGCUUUUAAAAACGCUAAAAGUGCUUUUAAAAAUACUUAUAUAAUUAGGUUUAGAAUUCUAAUUUUCUAGAUUCCAUCAUGUUUGGAUAAGUUCAACAUAAUACAUAUAGAGUGUGGAGAAAUCCAAGAGUAUAAAAUAACUAAAAGUAGUUGUAAGCUCACACAAAUGAAAGAUGGAUGCAUGCUAAGAACCACCAUGAGAAAGGGUCCUAUAAGCUUAAAAACGAAUUAAAAGAAAGCAAGAUGAUAAGAAGAAGUCUUGAGGACCAAAAUCAAUAAAAAUCAACAAAAAAGAUGUCAGGAGCCUAACGAGCCAAAUAAUUGGACCAGGACUCAAUACUCAAUAUACUACAAACUUAGGAUUGGAAUGAUGUCAAUAUGACAAAACAUAUCAAUUAUGACAAAUACAAAGCCACACUUCAAGAAAAGCUCCAGAAGUGGAUUCAAAGCUUGAUGACCGAAGUUGGUAAGGAAAAGAAAGGUACCAACUUGGAAGUGAAAAGGCUAAAAGACAACCAACAUAAGCACACCAGGACCAAAUAACAAGAAGUUGACAUCCGAUAACCACAAAAGGACCAAAACUAGUAGAGUGUCUCAGGAGGAGCUCAAGAAACUCGAGGCUAAUAGGAAUACCCGAUGCACCAUGAGGAGUCAUCCUAGAGGGCGGCUCCGAAAAAACGAGGGAGAACCAUCAGAGCAUAGAGGUAGAAAAGGCAAAAGAAGACUAAGAGCCAACUCUCCACCACCUUCACCACCUCCAAAGCCUUCUUCUCAGUGGUGGUUGUUGUGGUUGCCGGCAGCAAUGGGAGAAGAAGAAGAAGGGAGAAGAGGAGCAGGAGGAGAGGAGAUCUGAGCAGAUAUAGGAAAAAAUAAGCGAGGAACUGGCAACCCAAUACCCAAAUGGGAGUGGCAAACUGACCCUAGGUUAAAAAAAUUCAAGUCAAGUUUUAAUCCCCAAACUUAAGUCCGACUUGUUUAAUAGACGACUUUAUUUUUCCAGACUUGGCACAACCCACUGAGCCUAAAAUCUUGGCCCAUGUCCACCCAAAAGUCUUCUGGCUUGAGCAAGCCAGGCGACACAAGUUUAUUUGUCAUUUAGCUGUUGACAAUAAUGCUUGUGUUUUUUUUCUUUUGCUACGACGGGCGAUUCACACCAUUCUAGUAUGAAUACAUCCAAAAAAAUAAAAAAAAUAAGAUGUCCCAAAGCGCCCUUGGUAUCAGCGCCAAGUCAGUCCACCACAUCUCGCUAGAGCGCUCCGCCACAUAAGAGGUCAUCCAAUCUGCAGCCCCGCUCGCCUCUCGGUAAACGUGCUUGGAAGGAAGUAGUCUCCCUGCCAAUCUCCAAAUAUCCUUCAAGAGGGGUGUACCUAUUUCUGUGUCCUUCCUUCAGAUCCAACCAAUCACUGUAGCAAAAUCCCCCUCUAGGAGGAUGAGAUCAGCUCUUAAGAUGCAACAAGCAUAGGUAAUACCCACCCAAGCUGUCCUCAUCUUCGCCCCUAGGACUAAUGUAUCAAAGAUGGGGCUACCCACAACAAUGAGUCUAAAGUCCAGGCCUCUGAUCACAAACCCUACUCCACCUCUACUGCCACCAUCCAUCACACAAGCAUCAACGUUCACCUUAAGAAAACUCGAGGGUGAGGGCACCUAAGUGAUAAACACCAUUCAAGUUGCUGCAGAAGCUACAAAAGAGUCCCAGUUGUCCCAAGCUGUUAUAGGCUCUUCAACACCAUGUGUGUGGAUGAUCUCGGCGGCUUGAGCCAAAGCUCUCUCCGAGAUAAAUCACAUCGACCGAUUGACCUCCUCAAAAAUUUAGGCAUUCUUGGCUAGCUAGAUAUUAUAAGCAAUAUAGGCAACCCUGAUGGCAACAUGUCUGGAUGACGAUCUACUGGAGCAUCCUCUCAAGUGCACAAGGAAUGCAAAUGGGGGUCACCGACUGAAGAAGCUCCCGUGGGGCAUCAGCUAAUCUUCAAACUCGCAUAGCUCUCCCACAGCGAAAGAGAACAGCGUCAACUGAUUUCUCCUCAUAGCAGGGGCAACCAAAUAAUGCUUGUGUUCAGAGAUGUUGGGAUCGCAUCGUAUUAGCUUACGAAAGUUCUUAACUUCAAUAUAUUCAUAUUAAAUCUCUCCAAAAUGCAUUGUGCAUUCGAUAUGUUCUACGUGCUUGAGUUAUAAAGGAGUGUCUACAAGGAAAAAAACAAAAUAGACCAAAGUGUUAAGCCAAAGUAGCGCUCUAUUACCUAAUUAGAGAAUAAAGAUGCUUUUAAGUUAUAGACACAAGUAUAUUUUAACAACACGGACAAAUUUUCCACACCCCACAUUGCAUCCAAGAGCCAAAAACAUCACAUAUAGCAUCCCACAUUGCACAUUUCUCAACAUGUCUUGACCAAGCAUGUCAUAGCCUCUAAUCAUCAGUGCUACUUCCAUAUGUCAAAAGUGGGUUCUUAUACAAAUAUUUUAACCUCACUUGUCACCAAAAAACUCAUUCAUUAACUAUACCCAAGAUAUUGCUGUUCUACAAUUUCAGUUAAUGAAUUGGGAUGGGUUUAUUAUCAUAACAAUCUGCCCUGGUAGGUGCAUACAGACUAACAAAAACUGAAAGCUUUACUAUUCGAUGAUAUCAGAAUGGUUUCAAACAUAAAUUGAGUAGAUUUCAGAAAGGGAAAGAUUGACUAAUCAAAAAGGUGUGAAUUACUCAAAACGGUACCUAUUCUUUGUCUACCAAAUGGCAUGUAGCAUGUAGAAUAAGAGAGGCAGCAUCAACUGAAUGUAUUGGUUACCAAAUAAUAUUUCUUAAAAAUUAAAAAAGAGCAAUCUGACAAAAUUUUGAUCAAGGCAUAUAUUUGAAGCUCCUCUUAUCUUCUUCAGAUGGGGGAGAGGAAUUGAAGAUGGCAGUAUUCCAAAAUGGUGAUUCAAGAUUACAUGAACUAGCAAAGACCUAGAUCUGAAUUUCUGUUGUAAGAAACCAUUUAUGGAUCUAAGGAAACAUGCUAGCAACCUGCUGGCUGCACAUUUCUUCUUUUUUUUGUGGGAUAUUUUUCCAAGCAGGGAAAGAAUUAAAAAAUUAAAAGAAGAGAAACAGAGAAGGGAGGGAAACAAGGAUAGAAAGAAGAAAAAGAAGAGCACAUGCCACCUGUCUCUUGUGUCCCUUUAUCGUGCUAAAAGGUGCAAUAUGUGAUGGUCAACUGACCAAAAUACUAUUAUACUGGCUGGCCAUUACUUAUAACAUCUACAUCAAUAAUGGACCAAAAGAAUGAGCCAAAAUACAGCCCAAACAACAGCCAAAAAAAAAAAAAACAUAUCCGGUCUUUUAAGGCCAGAAACAAAAAUAUGUAAUGUAUUCCGACUUUCGAUGUUCAAUAAAAUGAAACUUUAAAAGCUAGAUUACAACAAGACAAUGCUUCAUAAGGCACCACCAAUGUGGUCAUAGUCCUACUUAUACCUUUAUGAUGGGAUAUAACCCUAUGAGUUUGAUAAGUAAAUAUAAGUACAAAUGAGGUAGAAACAGGAGGAUCCAAUAAAAUAAUACAAUCAAGAAACAAAGAACCAUGCAGUGUUUCAAAAAGAAGCUGCAGCAUGUGGAAAGUUGAGAUACUGCCAUGCAGUAUGCGCGUGCAUAUGCAAGCACAUAUACAGUUGGCAUAAAGUACUUAAAAAUAAAUAUAAUGCAUACAAUAAGAUAAAAAUAAGCUUAAAAAAAGAAACAGAAAAGUUAUUUCAGGACAAAAAGAUUAUGUAUGGAUGCUAUUCCACAUAUUUGAGACCCUAUUAUAUUAACCAAAAAAGAACAAAAUACUUCUAUCAACCAUUCUCAAAAUUUGAAAUUUACAAAUUGUCAAAUGAUAGAUGACCUAAGAAUAAGCAACAAGGAUGCACCACUUAUAAUUAAGUAUCAAAUACCUAAAUUAAUAAACAAGAUGUGGUAGUUAAGUUAUUAAUUUUUCAAAACUACACUCGAAAGAUUUCUCAUAGGAAGGUGACUUGUCAACCAACAUCAUCACAAUUUUGUGCAUUCAGGCUACAUAUGCGAGCUGCUUGGGCCUAUGUAGGCACUUGAUGGCUCACUAUGCAGCCCAACCCCUAUGUGGUGGCUGCUUUCACAUAUGGGGGAGUAUACAUAGCCACAUGAACUGCAUUUUAAAAUGCUGGAACCAUGCUCCCUACCAUUUCCAUUCAAGGCUUCGCAUAAUAGGUAUUAACAUGUGCUAAUGCCUAGCGAUCAUAGAGGUCAUAUACCUAUAUCAGUCAUGCUGAAUGUUGGACUGACAUGAUCUAGCACAGACUAGAACACAUGGUACAGUGGUGCUAUCAUGAUACCUUAUCAGCACAAUGUAUGUUGUACAGCACAGACCAGUAUGUUGUGGUACCUCAAUCCAUGGAUAUAGUUAUAUACAUUACCCUUGCCCCCACCUUCAAGACCCAGCCCCAAGAAGACACAAGCAAAACAAAAAUUAUGAUGAAUCAAAGUUACAAUGAUGAACAUGGCAUAACAUUGUUAGCAACAUUAAAUAUGGUGUGCAUUUGAUGCACCAAUCAAGCGAUCUAUUUUAAGUGUACAUGAACCAUGUAGCUAGGAUCAAGGUUAUUAAACAUGAUAUAAUCAAGAUUAGAGAAACUGCCCAUGGUGAUCUGAGAUUUGUGGAACAACAUAUUUAAAAUACAAAUCAUCGAAACCAUGACUUCUGUUGCUUCCUGAGCUCAUAAAUCCAUCAAGUCAAACAUAAUUUUCCUAUGGUCCAAUCAUUUUCUUCAUCAAUCUGAGCAAGUUAAUAAUUCAUCCACUAGAUAUAUAAAGAAGACUUCGCUAUGAAGUUGUUCAAAAUUAAAUUUCCCUCGUGGGUGUGAACUCCUUACUGCUUGCCAAUACAAGCUUGUGCAGAAAUUACCCGUUGCGCUGUGAUGGAUUGGAUGAAAAAACAACUUUUAUAUAAUUUGGAUAAUCCACUUAAUACUCAUGAUUUUCUACCAAAGUAUUUUAAUUUAAUAAUAUUACAGCUUGUUAAGAGCUGCUCUACCUGUAAUCUCCUUGUCGGACAAUCCUAAACCCAAUGGAGUCCUUGGUUUAAGGUCCUCAAAACAUUUCCACAGAUAAGUUACCAAGGUAGUCACUUUGAUCAUACUUGAUGUCCUAUACUUCUCCAUAACUUCAGUUUACAGAGUAAUCUGGUGAUCCACAAGUUUCUGACAUCCAGCCCCUCUGCUUUCUGAAUGUUUUCCAGAUACCAAGCUGAUUUUAAACAGAAACUUCGAUAUUUAAAAGAUGUCGGUCCUUGCCUCUAGUGAGCAACAAAUGAAAUACAGACAAUUCUUUCUGAACAUACAACCUACGUCAGUUGUUGCACCAAGUACAACAUAAGUCGAACAGAAUAGGGUUUAAGGAACUUCUCCAUACACUGCAAAAACGGCAAGCCCAACUUCAUGAAGCAAGCAAUAAUGGUGAUGGUAACAGUAACACUCUUCAAGAUAACUGAAUGUCCUUGACCAAUAUAUGAUAUUUUUGAUUGUUUGCAACUAAAUAUAUUGUCUAAGUAAAGUUGCAUGGAGCCUAUACAUCAGAAAACCAGUUUCAGUUCAAUGUUGCUGCAAUAAACGCUCUAAAUUACCCUCAUCUACAUUAAAUUGACCCACAGAUAUUGUGGCACAGGUCAAUUAGCAACAUUUAGAAGCACUUUCAAGUCUCUGCACUCUCUGUAAAAAUAAAAACGAGAAAAAGGCAUUUGCAAUAACUAGACAUGCCGAUAGCCAAUGACACGCAAUCGAAGAAACACAUCAAUGCAAAAAAGAAUGUUGACUAGUCAAAGCAUAUAUGCACGUAUACAUAAAAAAUAUUUAAGUAUAAAUCAAGGGGCAAAAUAUUUAAACUUAACUUAUUAAUAAGAGAGCACUACAACUGGAUGGAAUUAGGAAGUGGAAGGCUCCAUUUACCUUUAAUUGUUAGCACCUUCUUAGAUAAUAGUUAUCGCCUUUCAGGCGCUCAGAAUCUUUUGAUGCAUUUAUGUCCUCCACAUUUCCUAGAUUAGGACUUUUCCAUUGUUUACCCAUCAACUUAAGGGCCUGUCAGUGACCCCUAUUGUCUUCAUCUUUCCAUUCCAUUAUCAUAAAGGCUCUACUUCUAUCAUUUCUUUUUAAACUUUCAAUAUAUCCAACAAACUAACCAUAAAUGUACUUAUAGUUCCAGAAGAUAACAAUCAUAAAAUUUUCACAAUGUUUCCAGCUCAUGUCAAACUUCCAAAGUCAAGUUUGAAUUAAAAAUAGAUAUACAGAAAUCUUUUGCAGCCAAAAUUCAAGAAAUACACCAACAGGAUGGCAUGCCCUCCUCUUUAAAAUCUAAAGGCACACAGUUAGCACUCUAAUAACUAUGGACAGCAUAUUAAUAUGAUAGUACAAAAAAUGACCACACAUUGGAAAGAAGAGUUGCCACUAUAAGACAAGGCUAUCAACAAUUAUUGUGUACUUGAUGAAAAGCAAGUAUCAUACAUCUAAAUACACACCAGUUAUGAAACAUAAGAAAAAAGCCACAGAACAAUGAUGAGCCACAUAUAAAAGUUUGUGCAAUCAGCAAUUGCUGCUGAGACCAAAACAAAAGUUAUUGGAUUAAGCAAUCUAUAAUAAAAAUGUUCUCAAACAUUUUAAUUAACCAUCCCUAGAAAGGAAUUUCAUAUAUCAUAGGUAUUCUGGUAAGUGGUAUCAGAAGUGUAGACCAUUAGAAGAUUGCCAUUGAAGAAAGCUCGGGUUGUAUGCAAAAGGAAAGCACUAAGCAUUGAGAAUAAAUUAAUUUAAUAAAGUACAAUUACAUCGUGCAUUAAAUUGCACAAAAAGGUUACAAAAUGCACCAGUGUCAUCAAGCACAUCAGUCACAAAGCAAACAAGCUAAGCAUUAAAAACACAGAUGUCAGCGACAACGAAACUACGUCUAAAAUGAUAGCUACAACAGGUCCCUCCAAGCAACCUCUGCAUGUGUCCCAUGGGCAUGAAAUUACUAAAAGUCUAAAACAUAAAUAGGAGUGACUGACAUACUUGCCCACAAAUCAUUGAUCUCCUUCCUAGCCAAGGAAUUUGCUAACACCCCAUCUCACUCCGGUGAUAAAUGCCGCCUCUUUGAAUGCUCAACCUCCCGUGACUUGCUUCUUUGCAUCAAUGAUCGUCCUCUAUCCGAGUCAUCAUCACGCUCCAAUUCACGGUCCCUGUGCCUGUAGUGAUCUCCAUGAUGGAUUCUGUCGUCCCGACACCUAUCUCUUUCCCUCUCCGUUGCCCCCUCUCUGUCUCUGUCCCUCCCCCUCUCCCUCUCCCUCUCCCUCUCCCUCUCCCUACCCAUUUCUCUUCCAUCAUGAUGUCUCCUCUCCGACCAUUCUGGCCCAGGACCCACGUCCUUCUCCCUGUCAUGCUUUCUAUCUGAAACCCCCGACCAAUCCCGGUCAGGACCCCGAUCCUUCCCAUGGCUUCCUUCUCCAUACCACUGGUCUGAAGCAGCAUCAUCCCCAUAACUUGACUGCUCUUCACCUCCCCAUCCACCCAUACUGGGAUCCAGCCACAUCCCAACACCACCAGCGGCCACCCCUCCCCUCCCGAAGAAGGCCGGGUUCACAUGAGGAGCCACAACUGGAGGAAAUGAAGGCAUCAAUCCCGGGAAUGGAGCUGUGGUCGGCCCUGCAGGAAAGCCUCCAUACGCACCACCCAUUCUCCCCAUAGCCACUGCUCCGUAACCAGUUGGAUCAAAACCUUGACCAAGCAUAGCACCAGGAUGGAGCAUCGGUGGAGGUGGAGCAACCAUCCCGCCGUUUCCCAUGAUUCCUCUUCCACCCACAGGCCCCAUCCUGUUCCUCAUAUUCCCCAUUGGCCCUCGAUUUCCCCAUGCCACCCCUCCCCCAAUUACCACCACCACCACCCCUCCCAUAAUUCCCACCCAUCGGGGCCCCUCCCCCUCCUCUCCCCUUCUGAGGCGGUGCUGACGAUUGGGCUGCCAUAGGCUGAUUCUUGAGUUGAGCUUCUCCCAUCCGACGAACGGUGUGCGGCGAUGCAAAUGCCACGACACAGGGCCGGCCAUUGAAGACGUGCCCGUUCAUUCCCUCCUUGCACGCUGCCGCGGCCACUGGAUCAUAGAAAUCGACCUGGCAGAACCCCUUCGACUUCCCGCUCGCCUUCUCAUCGAAGAACUUCACCUCCUUCAGCUGCCCGUACUUGCUGCCCUCUGCCUCGAGAUCAGCGUCCGUCGUCCACCAGUGAAGCUCCCCCACAAAGAGAGUCGUCCCUCCAGCUCCUUCUCCUCCACCAUUAACGCUCCCUCCUCCCGCUGGCCCGCCUCCUCCCUGCCUCGUCUCACCUCCAAAGCCACCCCCUUGCCUUUGAUAACCCUCGUUCCCAUAGCCAGAGUUCCUCGACUGCCCCUGGAGCUCGCCGGGUCGACCAGAAGACCGCCCUAACUCAGGCCUACUUCCACCGGGCGGCGGCGCCGGGGCCGCGCCGCCGCCGCCAAUUCUCCACCUCCCCGCAAUGCUUGCUCAUGAAAGCCACCAGAUGUAUCCACCGGCCUCCCGAUCUUUGGGUCGCCCGCGAUCCCAGGGAUCUGGACCUUCUCCGGCGCAUCCACCGACGGCGGGAGCAGCGGGAGCGGGGGUGCGGGGUUGCUCCUGCUCCCGUCCUCCCUCGGAUACCCUCGGGGCUCGUCGCUCCUGUGGACGGCAUGUUGGAAGCCCUCACCGACGUUGACGUCGUUGUAGAGGUCCUCGUAGUCCUCGUCCUCCCCGUAGAACUGCUCCUCUUCCUGGACGGCGGAGAUGGCCUCGUUGCGGUGGAACCCGCCCCGUUCUCCGCCACCGCCGGGCUCCAUCGCGGAAAUCCUCAGCUUGGGCUAGGAUUAGGGUUUCUGAAGAGGAAGGAGGGACGAAACCCUAAUCCCUUGGACGGCUCCCUGAAGGCACGAUGGCGGAAGAGAGGAGGAUGGGUUUUGUUUUCAACAACAAUAAUAAUAAUAGUAAUAGUAACAAUAGUACUACUAAGAAUAAUUAUAAUUAUAAUAUAAUUAUAUUUAACAAUGGCAUUUGCAUCGUCCGGUCUAGCCGUCGAAAAGAGGAGCAUUUAGCAACGGAGAAGGUCCAAGCGGGAUGGCAUUUGCUCCCGUUGGAAGGGGGCCGAGAGAAGGAUAGAUAUCGGCUUCCAUUAAUGGCGCUUCCGCCAACCUCCUUCACCUUCCCACCUUCUUCUCCGCCUCCGAGACCCUUUCCCCCUUUCCGCCCUCCACUUCCUUGCCUUCUUCCUCUCAUCUCCUCAUCUGGACCCACCAUAUUGACGAGCUAGACCCCCUCCUCCACUAGCAAAGAACAUCGAAAAGAGCCCGCUUUAAGUUUAAAAGAACUAUUUUUAUAGCGUAAUAGAAUUCUCUAGUCCAUGAUCUCAGCAUGAUUGCGAAAGCAUGGACCCGUUUGCUAAUGGACUAUGUAAGGGCUCGUUUGGUUCGCGGGAAAAGAAGGGGAAAAAGUGUGGUCAACGAAAAAGUAAUGAGAUGCCUCUUGUUUGGUUGGAGUUUUCAAAGGAGAGAGAAGGAAAAGUUAUAUUCCCAUGGGAAUGUGAUUCCCACAUUUCAUGGGAAAGUCUUUCCCAUGAGAAACAUGGGAAAGUUACUUUCCCAUGAGGCGGGAAUCACUUCAUUUUUACUUUUUCCCAAAAAAUCCUUUCAGCAUUAAAGAGACAUUAAAAACCUAAUUUUUAUUAAGGGCAUAAUAGGAAUUAUAUAUAACUUUCCUAGGAAAGUGGAUGGCCAACCAAACAUAAGCACCUUGGAAAUUUGUCACUUUCCCAUGGUCAACCAAACAUGCCAUAAUUGAUUUCUUUCCCCACUCUCAGAUAUAAGAAAUGAGCAAGCGUUUCUAAAACAUAAAUCGCUUAUCUUUUAUCCCCUCUCUAUUCCCUUUUAGUUUGCACCAUUAUACUUUGUUCUAAAAAUUCAUAGAUCAUAAACCAUGGAGUUGAAUACGAGUCCAGCCUCUACUCUGAGGACCCCUUUGAGAUAGUUAGAAUAGCCACCAACUUCAACGUACACAAGGAGAGAGUAAGGUCCUCAGAUAACCAACCGCACAGGUAGUUAUACAUGCAUCAGUCUUGGUCUUAUUCAAAUGUACUCGAUUCCUAUUUUUCUUAUAUACUGUUGUUGAUGUUUAUAGAGAGAUUGCCUUGUUGUUGUCUCUAGCUUUGGGCCUUGAAGAGGAGGAUCUGUCCAAUAAAUUUGGUGUAGAUCAUCCCCAAUGGAUGACCUCACAAUUGUGCUGCAUGGGCAUUCUGAUGCACCUGGGAUCGGUAUCCUCAUGCAGGACUUUGGUUGACUCCAAGUGCUCAAAGAUAGGAAGGGGUUGAAUUUGGAUCCCAUCCCUAAUGAUUUUCUAAUUAAUAUGGGUGACAUCUUGGAGGUAAUGCUUACCCCCCUGAACUGCUUCCAAUAAUGAUUGAAAUUUACAAUAGAAGGGUUGCUUAUAGAGAAGCACAUAAAUUAGAAAAGAAGUACAAGCCAAUUCCUUGAGAUAAUACAUUGAGAAAGAAUAUUAAGAAUUACAGUUAGCUCCUAGAAAGACGUUCAGGUGAAUGGUAAACCUAUUAUUCUUAAUUUGGUGCUUUAUAUGCCUUGAGCAACGGGAAGUUGAAGAAUGAUGGACACCCAGUACUUGGAAACUCAUCCACAGCUCGAUUGACAAUUGUGUCCUUCAAUCACCUAUGCAAGGGUGAUGUGAUCACCCCUCAGAAGGGUUUGGUUGAUUGGAAACAUCCACCUCCCAUGAUCUAUCUCAUCAAUCUAUUUCUAUGUCUGAAGGCAUAUAAUAUAUUUAAAAAAAUUAGAGCAUAUUUGGAUAUUUCUAUAAAAUUGGGCCGAAUAUUUUGCAAGAAUAAGACUUGCGGGUUUGUCCGUCUCCUAUCUUUUGAGGAUUACCCAAAAGCUUGUUAGGCUGCAGAAAGAGAAAAAGAUUUAUGAUUUUUUUUUUAUUUCCAUAAGAUUUUAGAAGGUAUUUCAUUGAUAAAGUUAUGCUAAAAUGGGCAACCUAAUCUAUGAAUCUAGUAGAAAAUUUAGCAUAAUCCAGCUGAAUUUUCCAAAGGCUUUAAAUUAGUUUUUUAAAAGUAUGAUGCAGCACUAUCUUUUAGAAAGAAAAUGAUGCUAAAAUGAAGGGAUAACCACCGCUCCAUGGCAUCUUUUACUGCAUGCAUUUUAGACUAAAAUAUACUAUUAAACUCUUUUGUUUUAUUGAAAUACUAUUGAACUCUUAUAUAAUAAGAGAUUGGCUAGCUGAUUUGCUUACUUUGCCGCCUCUACCUCUAGCUUGCAAUCUGAACUGCCGAAUAUGCUUGGUGACAAUGUUUCUCAAAUGGUCGGGACAAGGCUUGUGAAUUGCUGUCAUGGUUAUUGGUCACGCAAACUUUUUAUGAUAUCCAUAUACAUAGUAAUUUUGUGAGUAGUAUAAUGAAGCCUCUAGUCAUUCAUAAAGCUUUCUUUUUGGGAGAAAAAGGGGAGAGAAGUCCUAACCCCAAGUGUAAAGGUUGGCCUAAGACAUGGAUUUUUUCACUGGGAAUAAUCUAUGAAUUGGGAUACUCCAAAGUUUUACCUAAGAGCUUGUUUGCUUAGGAGUAAUCUGGUAUGGAAAAAUAAAUCUCAUGUCAGAAUACUAUAUUUAGUACUAAAAAUAAAUGAGAGAAAUGGUAAAAUAAAUAGUGAAUCCCAUAUCUAUGUUCUUGAGAGAGAAGAUAAAUAAAUAUCAUCAGGGGAUAGUAUUUAUUUUCACGCAUUGGAUUACCUAGUGGAGGUAAUCUAAAAUUAUCAUUUCUUGACAAAAAUACCCUCACUUAUAUUAUAUUAAUAUUACAUUGAUUAUAUUAUAUAAUUAAUAUUAACUAUAUUAUAUAAUUAAUAUUAAUUAUAUUAAUAUUAUAUUAUAUAUUAUAAAUACAUUAAUAUAUUGAUUAAUAAUAUUUAUAACUAUUCAUAUAUUUAAUAUAUAUAUUAAUACUUAUUAAUUAUUAAUAAAAAAUUAACAAAUAUUUAUUAAUUAUCAUAAGAUUUACUAAAAUUAAUAUAUUUAUUUGUAUACCAAAAUAUACUAAAAUAUAUUUAUAAUAAGCAAUGUAUUUUCUAAUAAAUGUAUAAUUAGUUUUAAAAUAUUUAUUAACUCAUAUGAACAUAAUUUAAUAUUAAAAAUAGUUAAUAUUAAGAAUAUUUCUGUAAGUAGACUAUAAAUGGCUAACAAAUGGACUAAGAAAAAAAUAUCAUCACUUGAAUUAUUUAUUUAAAAAUAUUAUUAAAAAUUUAGCAAUAUUUCAACUCAAUAUUGCCUCCAACCAAAUAUGAUAAUUUUUUUCAGUAUUUUUUUUGAAAUAAUUUUUUCACCAACCAAAUAUAAUAAAAUUUAUUUUCCUCCAAAAUUAUUUUUUUAAAUAAAUAAUUUCCAUAAACUAUUAGAUUAUUCCAUAAUCUAAUAUAUCCCAAUUAAACAAACCCGCAGAGUAUAUUAUGUAAAAAAAAAAAAAGAAGAGAGAGAGAGAGAGUAACGAACUGCUACUCGGAACAUGAAGCAACCAAGUGUUGAUAUCACAAACUAACCCUAAUGAUACCAUAGCAGCAUGGUAAUGGUACAGAUACCGAAAUCAUUAUUUUGAUGACUUGCACUAGGAUCCUAGAGGCAGCGCUUAUAUUAGCAGCUUCCCCCGAGGUUUUUUUUUUUUGGUAUUUCAGAGGAUCAAAAGCUGUUUGACUUCCUUAAAGCCAACAUAUCCUGAUAUCUUCGCUGAUACAAAAUGUUUUAAGAGAUCAAAAUUUCUACCAAUAUAGUAUAUAUGGACAGCAGAUUUCUAAAAAGAAUCAUACAAUAUAUAGCUGAAUUGGAUUGAGUAAUUCUAUGGUAACACAGAAAAAUCACCCAAAAAGGCUACUCAACUGUCUUGCACCAUUCACGUUGCUUCAUUAUGUGAAUUCACAAUGCAAACUCAUAUACAGCACCAAGCAAGUUCAUCAUUCAAAGUGCUGCAUAAAUUGUCAUACAAGCUCCAAGGGGCAUGACUCUAACAAGAAACAUCAGUGGGAUAGCACAAAUGAAAAUUGCAUCCAGCGAUCUCAGAAUUUUCUAUAAAUGGUAGUCUUUCUCUUCAUCCAUACAAGGCACACAGGGGAGAAAGAAAAGGAUAGUCGAAAAANNNNNNNNNNNNNNNNNNNNNNNNNNNNNNNNNNNNNNNNNNNNNNNNNNNNNNNNNNNNNNNNNNNCAAAGGGGACCCAUGCAUCUGUGGCCAUGCCUUCAGCAAAUUCCUUCAUCAUCAUCAUUUAUUAAAAAGGAAAAAGCAAACAAAAUCUGAAACCUCAAGAACAGCAUCUUUUUCUACCGGUACCGACCAAAGAUCUAUCUCACCAUCACUUUCUGAAAGUGCGUGGUCAGAGAUUGUGCUAACAGGUGUAAAUCAGCAAGAUCAUUUUCCUGUCAUUUAACUUAAACAGGUGCAGUGAAAUCUCUUACAACACUUCAAUGCAUUCCGAAGGUUUCGAACCAAAAUACAGUUACUAAAUUUGUUUUGGAGGAAAAUACAUGCAUCAUUCACAUCACUCACUCAAUUUGUAAGCUCAGAAGAAGACCUGCAUCCAUUCAACAAAGAGGGACCUGCUACUGUAGCCAAACCAUUUCCAACUGCUCUUCUAGCUGCAUCCAUAAAGUGGUGAACGUCAGCAUAUCAGAUUUAUUCAAUAGUAAAACAAAAGAACAUGCAAGAAGCGUAAAGUCGAUCAAAAUAUAGAAUCCAGUUUUAAGGAGCCUGAGACCAAUGAAUUAUUUCUUAAUAAAGUUAAUCGAGGACAAGAAAUACAAUAAAGAUGAACACAAGUCUGACCCGAAGAAUCUUAAAAGCAAAAAACGAAAACCAUAUAUCAUACACUCCAAAUAAAAAUGGACUAAUAUGGCAUUGUAAUGGGCGAUCCUUUCUUAAUAAAGCAAAACAAGAUCUGUAUUGGACACUGGAAAUAGAACAAGGUAAUACAGGAACAAGUCUGAUGGAGGAGGAGCUUAUGAAGUAACAAGCAAGAACACGUCAAAAAUGGACAUAGGAUCAUUAUUCAGUUGUAAUUUCAAUUUGUUGAUGAAGGUGCCAACCGCACGGCACUGGCAUGAAGAUGCCACCGGCUUUCAGGUGCAUAGUACAACUGUAUCCCAGCUCAUAUUCAUCAAAAACAUGACUUGUGUUGUUUCCCAAGCUCAUAAAUCCAUCAAGUCAAACAUAAGUUCCCCAAGGUCCAAUCAUUUUCUUCAUCAAUCUAAGCAAGUUAACAAUUCAUCCACUAGAUACAUAAAGAAGAUUUUGCCAUAAAGUUGUUGAAAAUUAAAUUUCCCUUGUGGAUGUGAAAAUCCUAACUGCCUGCCAAUACAAGCUUGUGCAGAAAUUACCCUUCGCAUUGUGAUGGAUUAGAUGAAAAAACAACGUUUGCAUAAUUUGGAUUAUCCACUUAGUACUAGUGAUUUUUUGCCAAAGUACUUUAAUUCAAUAACAUUAAAGCUUGUUAAGAGCUACUCUACCUGUAAUCUCCUUGUUGGACAAUCCUAAACCCAAUGGAGUUCUUGGUUUUAGGUCCUCAAAAAAUUUCCACAGAUGAAUUACCAAGGUAGUCACUUUGGUCAUACUUGAUGUCCUAUACUUCUCCAUAACUUCAGUUUACAGAGUAAUGUGGUGAUCCACAAGUUCUAACAUCCAGCCCCUCUGCUUUCUGAAUGUUUCUUCCAGGUACCAUGCCAAUUUUAAACAGAAAUUUUGAUAUUUAAAAGAUGUAGGCCCUUGUCUCUAGCGAGCAACAAAUGAAAUACAGUCAAUUCUUUCUGAAGAUUCAACCUAUGUCAGUUGUUGAACCAAGCACAACAUAAGUCAAACAGAACAGGGUUUAAGGAACUUCUCCACAUGCUGCAAAGCCGGCAAGCCCAACUUCAUAAAGCAAGAAAUAAUGGUGAUGGUAACAGUAGCACUCUUCAAGGUAACUGAAUUCGUCCUUGACCAAUAUAUGAUCUUUUCGAUUGUUUGCAACUGAAUAUAUUGUCUAAGUUGCAUGGAGCCAAUACAUCAGAAAAACCAGUUUCAGUUCAAUGUUGCUCCAAUAAAUGCUCUAAAUUACCCUCAUCUAAAUUAAAUUGACCCACAGAUAUUGUGGCACAAGUCAAUUAGCAACAUUUAGAGGCACUUUCAAGUCUCUGCACUCUCUGCAAAAAUAAAAACGAAAAAAAGACAUUUGCAAUAACUCAACAUGCUAGUAGCCAAUGACACGCAAUCGAAGAAACCCAUCAAUGCAAAAAAGAAUGUUGACUACAGUCAAAGCAUUUAUGCACAUAUACAUAAAAAAAUAUUUAGUAUAAAUUACGGGACAAAAUAUUUAAACUUAACUUAGUAAUAAGAGAGCACUACAACUGGAUGGAAUUGAUGGGCUUUUCUUGAGAAGUGGAAGGCCUGUACCUUCAUUUUUCUUUUCAUUUGGUAAGAGUCUCAUCAUUUUUCUUGUCAGGUUUUGGUCAACCAAAGCCAAAAAUUUUAACCUUCUAAGAUCAAAAUGGGUUCUCAUCUCUACGACAAUAAAGCUUCCUCUCAGACCAUUUCUUUAGGAGACAAGAUUACAAUUACCACGGUCAUGUCAAUUAUCAGCCUCAUGUAUACUUAUAUAAGCGCCCCAUUUGCCUUUAAUUGUUAGCACCUUGUUAAAUAAUAAUUAUCGCCUUUCAGAUGUUCACCAUCUUUGGAUGCAUAUAUGUCCAACACAUUUCAUAGAUUAGGGCAUUUUUCCACUGUUUACCCAUCAACUUAGGGGCCUCUCAGUGACCCCUCCGGUCUCCAACUUUCCAUUCCAUUAUCAUAAAGGCUCUACUUCUAUCAUUUCUCUUUUAUCUUUGAAAAUAUCCAACAAACUAACCAUAAACGUACUUAUAGUUCCAGAAGAUAACAAUCAUAAAAUUUUCAUAAUGUUUCCAGCUCAUGUCAAACUUCCCAAAGUCAAGUUUGAAUUAAAAAGAGAUAUAAGGAAAUGUUUUGCAGCCAAAAUUACAGAAAUAAACCAACAGUAUGGCAUGUCCUCUUCUUUAAAACCUAAAGGCACACAGUUAGCACCCUCAUAACUAUGGACAUCAUAUAUAAUAUGAUCAGGGAUGAGUGUGCCAAUACCCAGGCCCAGACCGAUUGCCAGCAGCAUGGUUUAGUACACCCCCCUUGCCAUUUUAUGCCGGGCCCAUAUAGACACAGCAGAGAGGGCGGCGGAGAGGGUGAAAGGGAGACGAAAAGAGAGAUAGAGAGAAGGGGGAGGGAGGGAGGGAGAGAGAGAGGAGGAGGGAGGGAAGGAGAGAGAGGGAGAAGACCGAUGGAGGCAACCAGAGCGCAUCCCGAGAGACAGUCGAGGAGAGGGAGAAUGAAGGGAGGAAAAGAAAGAGAGAGGGAGAGAGAAAGAGGGUGGCAAACAUUUGGCGGAGGUCGGUGAAAAAGGCUUGCCGACUUCACUUAAAAUCUUCAAAAAUAAAAAGAGGCCCUCCUAUAGGACCCCUGUUUCGAAUGAAACAGGAGAAUUGGAGGCAAAGCCCCUCCUCCACCCCUCCGCGGCCUUUUGUCGGCCGUUUGCCAACCUCCCUCUAUCUUUCUUCCUCUCCUUCUUCCUCCCUACCCCUUAUCUCUCUUUUCCUCUCUUUUCUUCUCUCUCUCCGCCUCCCCCUCCAUCGCCAGUUUCUUAUUUUGCUUGACAGAAUUGUCCCUGUCCACCACUAGUGCAGCUCAAUACGCACCAAAUCGGACGAUUCAGAAUGAUUUUGCUGUCCUUGAAUAUGAUAGUACAAAGAAUGACCAAUCAUUGGAUAGAAAAGUUGCCAUUAUAAGACAAGGCUAUCAACAAUUCUUGUGUACUUGAUGAAAGUCAAGUGCCAUACAUCUAAACACCCAAUGCUAAUAAAACAUAAGGAAAAAGCCACAGAACAAUGAUGAAACACAUAAAAGAUUGUGCAAUUAGCAAUUGCUGCUCAAACCAAAAUAAAAGUUACAGGACCAAGCAACCUAUAAUAAAAAGGUUCUCAAACAUUUUAUAAAAAUAACUAACCAUCCCUAGAAAGGAAUUUCAUAUAUCAGCAGUAUUUGGGUUAGUCGUAUCAGAAAUCUAAACCAUUAGAAGAUUGGCAUUGAAGAAACUUCAGGUUGUAUGCAUAAAGAAUGCACUGAGCAUUGAGAAUAAAUUAAUUUAAUAAAGUACAAUUACAUCGUGCAUAAAAUUGCACGAAAAGGUUACAAGAUGCAUUAGUGUCAUCAAGCACAUCAGUCACAAAGCAAGAUUACAAACAAGAUAAGAAUUAAAGACAGAUGUCAGCGACAAAGAAAACUUACAUGUCUAAAAUGAUAGCUACAACAGGUCCCUGCAAGCAACCUCUGCACAUGUCCGAUGGGCAUGAAAUUACUAAAAGUCUAAACCAUAAAUAGGAGUGACUGACAUGCUUGCCCACAAAUCAUUGAUCUCCUUCAUAACUAAGGAAUUUGCUAACACCCCAUCUUACUCAGGUGAAAAACGCCGCCUCUUCGAAUGCUCAAUCUCCCGCGACUUGCUUCUUUGCAUCGAUGAUCUUCCUCUAUUCCAGUCAUCAUCACGCUCCAAUUCACGGUCCUUUUGCCUGUAGUGAUCUCCAUGACGGUCUCUGUCAUCCCGAUACCUAUCCCUUUCCCUCCCCCUCUCUCUUUCCCUCUCUGUUGCCCCCUCUCUGUCUCUGUCCCUCCCUCUUUCCCUCUCCCUCUCCCUCUCCCUGUCUCUCUCCCAAUCACGAUCCCUCUCCCUACCCAUUUCUCUUCCAUCAUGAUAUCUCCUCUCCGACCAUUCCUGCCCAGGACCCACGUCCUUCUCUCUGUCAUGUUUUCUAUCUGAAACCCCCGAGUAAUCCCGGUCAGGACCUCGAUCCUUCCCAUGGCUUCCUUCUCCAUACCGCUGGUCCGAAGCAGCAUCAUCCCCAUAACUUGACUGCUCUUCACCUCCCCAUCCACCCAUACUUGGAUCUGGCCACAUCCCACCACCACCAGCGGCCAUCCCUCCCCUCCCGAAGAAGGCCGGGUUCACAUGAGGAGCCACAACUGGAGGAAAUGAAGGCAUCAAUCCCGGGAAUGGAGCUGUCGUUGGCCCUGCAGGAAAGCCUCCAUAUGCACCACCCAUUCUCCCCAUAGCCACUGCUCCAUAACCAGUUGGAUCAAAACCUUGACCAAGCAUAGCACCAGGAUGCAGCAUCGGUGGAGGUGGAGCAACCAUGCCGCCGUUUCCCAUGAUUCCUCUGCCACCCACAGGCCCCAUCCUGUUCCUCAUAUUCCCCAUUGGUCCUCGAUUCCCCAUGCCACCCCUCCCCCAAUUACCACCACCACCACCCCUCCCACUAAUUCCCACCCACUCGGCCCCCCUCCCCCUCCUCUCCCCUUCUGAGGCGGUGCUGACGAUUGGGCUGCCAUCUGUUGAUUCUUGAGUUGAGCUUCUCCAAUCCGACGAACAGUGUGCGGCGAUGCAAACGCCACGACACAGGGCCGGCCAUUGAAGACGUGCCCGUUCAUUCCCUCCUUGCACGCUGCAGCGGCCACUGGAUCAUAGAAAUCGACCUGGCAGAACCCCUUCGACUUCCCGCUCGCCUUCUCAUCGAAGAACUUCACCUCCUUCAGCUGCCCGUACUUGCUGACCUCUGCCUCGAGAUCAGCAUCCGUCGUCCACCAGAGAAGCUCCCCCACAAAGAGAGUCGUCCCUCCAGCUCCUUCUCCUCCACCAUUAACGCUCCCUCCUCCCGCUGGCCCGCCUCCUCCCUGCCUCGUCUCACCUCCAAAGCCACCCCCUUGCCUUGGAUAACCCUCGUUCCCAUAGCCAGAGGUCCUCGAUUGCCCCUGGAUCUCGCCGGGUCGACCAGAAGACUGCCCUAACUCAGGCCUACUUCCACCGGGCGGCGGCGCCACGGGCGGGGGCAGCGCCGGGGGCCGCACCGCCACCGCCGAUUCUCCACCUCCCCGGAAUCCUUGCGCAUGAAAGCCACCAGAUCUAUCCACCGGCCUCUCGAUCUUCGUGUCGCCAGCGAUCCCGAGGAUCUGGACCUUCUCCGGCGCAUCCCCCGACGGCGGGAGCAGCGGGGGCGGCGAAGCAGGGUUGCUCCUGCUCCCGUCCUCCCUCGGAUACCCGCCGGGCUCGUCACUCCGGUGGACGGCGUGGAGGAAGCCCUCGCCGACGUUGACGUCGUUGUAGAGGUCCUCGUAGUCCUCGUCCUCCCCGUAGAGCUGCUCCUCGUCCUGGACGGCGGAGAUGGCCUCGUUGCGGUGGAACCCGCCUCGUUCUCCGCCGCCACCGGGCUCCAUCGCGGAAAUCCUCGGCUUGGGCUAGGAUUAGGGUUUGUGAAGAGGAAGGAAGGACGAAACUCUAAUCCUUUGGACGGCUUCCUGAAGGCACGAAGGCGGAAGGGAGGAGGAUAGCUUUUCUUUUCAAUAAUAGUAAUAGUAAUAGUUAUAGUAAUGAUAAAAAUAAUAAUAAUAAUAAUAAUAAUAAUUAUUAUUAUUAUUUUCAGUGACUUGUCGCCGUUUGAUCACGACGGUCUGGCGCUUGCGGCCAAUCUGGACCGUCAGUUGGAUGGACGCCAAAGUAACAGGCACUAUUCGUUUCCACCGAUAUUUGGUGUUUUAGCCUUGCAGGGUGAUCUGUGUUGGGCGGCUAACAGCAAGAUCAUUGCCGAAAAAAAAAAUUUAAUCUUUUGACCGGCUUAGAAAUUAGAAUUGAGUCAGCUGGGACCCACAAAACGACAGGGACACGUUAGAACUGGAUAUGGUUAAUAUCUGCGUAGUCGAUAGGCAAAUGUAACUUUGGGAUGGUUGGCUACCAAUUCUGGCGGCAAAUUAUCUCCCGUAAUUGAAUAAGAGAAUGGAGAUCUUUCAAAUAAUCAGAUUUCAAGGAUGAAUAAUACUGUAUCUUGGAUCCUUGAAAUUAUAUAAGAGACUGAGAUUUCUUUCAUGCAAACUUUCACACUUUCAAGACAUCUCUUCUUCUUUUCUUUCUUUCUUCUUUUUUUUUUUGUUACAUCGAUAGCUUAUACUAGUCUUGCAUGAGCAUUAUUAUCAGAGUUAAUAAACAAAAUACUCCACAGAUAUGGAGGAAUGGAAACAAAACAGGUUUAAGAGAACUUCUUCAGAAUGGUGAGCAGCAAAGAAAGUGACCUAGUUAGCAGCUAUGUUGCCUUUCGGAACACAUGCACAACCUGAAAGGUAUCACACACCCUCAACAGCCUCCGGACGUCAUCUAAAAGCGGGUGGUCAAACACUCCCGACCCCUCCUGUAGAAUCCGCUCAAUCACCUCCUCUGAGUCCCCCUCCAUGAUGAUGCUCCUAGUCUCCAGUACUCACCUCGCAUAGGAGACUUCCUCUCAGACGGCCCGAAGUUCCGCCUCCGAAAUUGAGUCUUGAAAGUACGCCGCCCUCCCACCACAAUCAGCUUGGACUCAUGGUCCCUAAUCACAAAAGAAACACCAUAACAGUCUUCGCCAACUGGCAGACUACCAUCAAAGUUCAUUUUUAGGUGGCCAAGGGAUAGGGGCUCCCAGGAUAUGAGGACAUAUCUAGGUGAUAUACCAGUAGAGGGGGAGACCUAGAUGUCCCUAGCCAACUCAGAUGAAACAGUCAUGGUAGCUUCAUGACUUCGGCGGCCUAAUGGAUAGCUUUAUCCACCAAAAACCUCAAGGGGACUCUCUUGUCUUCGAAGACUCUAUCGUUUCUAUCCAGCCAAAUAUGAUUAACUAGAUAAGCACCAGCAACACCCCAGCCAGUAGAACUCGGAGCCCACAUGGCGGUCCUUAUGUGCCGAAGUAAAUCCUCUGCAGACUCAGUGAGCCUCGGCAGGAGAAAGGAUGCCCGCCUCUAGAUUUGAAUGGCUCGGGAGCACUAUAGUAGGACGUGGCUGACCGUCUCCUUCCUCUCCAGGCAAUCCAUGCAAGACAGAGAGAUUCCAACCCCCCCUGCCAACAUGCUCCUAGUCGGUAGGCAUCCCUAGGCUACCUUUCAAAUGAACAGAGCAACUCGAGGGUGGACCUGCAACUUCCAAAUCCAGCCAUCGUCUAGUCGCCUCGAGCUCUUCCCACCCAUCACCACUUGCACAUUAGCUGAUCGAAUUCUGGCCCUUCUAGUGGCCGUCCAAACCAAUCUAUCCGCCAUGACCUCAUGAGGUAUAGGAUAGCAAGGAUCCUCUUAGCCAGUUGGGGCCCGAAGGCCCCUCUAAUCAGCCCCUCGUCCCGAAGACAUCUCUCUCUAUAUAUAUAGAUAUGUAUGUAUGUAUGAAAUAUGUAUAUAUGUACAUAUGUAUGUAUAUAUAUAUAUAUAUUCUAACUCAAUCAAAAAUAUUGAUAUAUCCAAACCUUAUUGUAUCCUACUUUUUAUUAUUUACUGUAUGAAUAUGUCUGCAUCAUGUUAUGUGUUCAUAUGUUGUAUCCAUAUUCAGGCUUUAUAAUUAUAGGUGAGAAGACAUGGCACCAAUUUGUUAUAAAAGGGAUUGUAUAUUUAUUUUCAAAUGCGAGUCUCUAGUAUUAUAAUGGAGACUUCUAAGGGCAAAAUUUUGUAUCCUCUUAUUUCUGCUUUCUAAUUAAAAUUGCCAUGUUACGAUUUGAAAAGUCUUUACAAGUAUUAUAGUUUUCGUUUCUUUUAAGGGUCUGUUCAGCUAUUCCUAUAAAAUUAUGCUGAAAUUCUUAUAGGAUUCAUAGAUUUGGCCAUCCAUUUAAGCAUGACCCUAUAUCAAUUAAACUUCAUCCAAACCAAAUCCUAUAAGAAGGAAAAAAAAGUCCACCAUAGGUCUUUUUUUCUUGCUACAGCUCAAAAGCUAGGAUCGGAGCUGAAUUUGUAGAGAAAUAUAAUAAAUAUUGUAACUUCUUAUCUCAUUUCUUCUCGCAUAGGAUUGUAUCGAGGCUGCCUUUGGCGGGCUCAUCGCUACUUUGAUGGCUGUUGCUACUUUCUAAAAUAACACAGGGAACAUAUGAUUACUUAUUAAAACAAGAUUAAAUUUUUAGAUUCUUUUGAACUGAAUUGGUAGGUUUGCAUAGUGUAUUCCUUUUUCUCGAUAUAUUAGUUUUGAUUUAUAAUUCUCAGGGCUAUAGUAAUUUAUUCAAAGGAUCAUUAGACUCAAUGUGGACUGCUUUGGCUACUACAGAUAGGGCUGAAUAAGAUUUAGGAGUGAGAUCUGCCACAUCAAAAAACUGAAUCACGAACAAAACUUUCGGAGUCUAUAACUUAGUCAUAUCAUGUCUGAUUGAGAUGAUCUAUUUUUUGAAAUCGAGUAACUUUCGAGAUCUACGAUGUGAUACUCCUCCUAAAGGGGGUCACACCUCUAGUGAUCAUGCCCAAAUUCAAUCGUUUGGGCCUUUGAAAUAGGCUGGUCAAAUCGAAAGUUUGUUUUUUCAAAAAGAAAUUUGAUCAAAUGUAUCUCCCAAUCCAAAACGAACAGAUAGAGCAACAAAAAACAAAUUUUAUGUAGGAGUCAAGAUCUACAUCCUGUAGAAUUUUAGUUUUUCAAGUUUAUUUUUACUAGUAAUGUCAAUUUUAAAAAAGUGAUCUCUAUUAGAACUAGAAGAGAAAUCCGAUCCGAAUUAUGCAAGAGCGAACCUCGCCAUUAAAAAUAGAGGCUAUAUACCUUGAAUUUAUCAUCAAUAAAAGAAAAUAGGAUGUAAACCCUACCUCGCCAAUUUUUCAACUUUUUUUUAUUUUUUUAAGAAAUUCGAGUUGAGCGGGAUGAGAAAAACUUUCCUUCUCCCGAUCGGAUCAGUAAUAUGAAAGAUUCUUUGCCUCCAUAUGGAAAAAGGUGUGAUCAAUUGUGCUCCCACUAAGUCGCCUAUACAAAGCCUAGGUAUGGUUAGCCAUUCAUGGCUAUCAGCAUGUUGUAUAAUGAUCCAACCACGAAGAAGGCUCGCUCAAUAACCACAUUGUCGAUGUCUAUAAUUUUAAUAGUUUGUAGUCACUCUCUCUUUACCCAUCUUAAAUUAUUUAUUUUUUUUGAAAUGCUACUAUAUGCUCAUCUCUAAUUUCUCUACAUUUGUAAAAUAGUUGCUAUUAUAAUAAUGCUAGAAUUUUGUGAAUAUUCAAGGUUUAAUUUGACAUAUACAUCUCCAUGUACAGUGUCAUUAUUUCUUUCAGCAACCUCUAGGUAGGUCACACACUAAUAUAUCUUGGACUUCCCAACUAAUAAAGCUUAUGGUCGCGAAGGCCAUGAAGCUUAUAAAAAUGAUCAAUAACCCACGCCAAUAUCAAGCUAAAGUAGAGUUAGAGAUACAUUUUGGAGGGCAUUGUGCUUCAUGCCACUCGACCAAAAACCCUCUCUUAGAUCCUGAUAUAUUUUGGUGCCUCCAGAAUGCGUGGUGUAGGCAGAACUAUGGGCCUCUUCCAAAAUCUUUUUCUUCAAUUAUGAAUUCUUAGGGACACAGAGGUUAUUACCAAAUCUUAAAGACCCAUACUCAUGAAUUCGAAACUCUGUUUAGGCUCUAGAUUCUACUGCCAUCCUGAUCUUCUGGAGCUAUGAAUCUUCUUCCUAAGAUGCCUUGAUCCUUUCAAUUAGGGUAUGUUGCACUAUGAGAUGGGUGUUGGCAUUAUGUAGACUCACUUCAACCUCUCCAAAUCUGCCAAGAUAGUCUUUUGUGAAGUAAUUAAAGCUGCUAACUUACCCGAGGACUUCUUGCUCAAACUAUCUACCACCACAUUCAUUUUUCCUGGAUGAUAAUUGAUAGUGAGGUCAUAAUCUUUUAGCAGCUCCAAUCAUCUUACCUGCCUCACUUUCAAUUCUUUUGGGGUGACAAUAUACUUCAAACUCUUAUGAUCAGUGUAGACUUCACAAAACUCUGCAUACAAAUAAUGUCUCCAUAUUUUUAGGACAAAAACUAUAGCUGCUAGCUGCAAAUCAUGGGCAAGAUAAUUCUAUUCAUAAGGCUUUAGUUGUAUGAAGUCAUAAGAUAUUGCCUUUCUAUUCUACAUCAAAAUAGAGCCUAGGCCUUUCUAAGAGGCAUCACUGCAAAUGGUAAAACCUCUUAUCCCAAAUGGAAUGGUCAACAUUGGAGUUAUCACCAAUUGCUUUUUUAAUUCUUAGAAACUCUGCUUGCACUCCUCUAUCCAUUCAAAUUUCAUCCAUGUUUGAGUCAGACAGGAUAGAGAUACAAUGAUGCAAGAGAAUUCUUCAACAAAUCUUUGGUAAUAGCCAGCUAGUCCAAGGAAGCCGUGUAUUUUGGAUAUAUUAGUAGGCUGACUCCACUUGACCACCACUUCUAUUAUCUCUGGGUAAACAGAAAUGUCAUCUUUGGAAAUCGCAUGCCCAAAAAGGCGACACUAUCGAGCCAAAAUUUGUACUUUAACAAUUUUACUUAGAACUUCUUUUCUCUAAAGGUUUACAACACUAUUCUUAGAUGUUCCUCAUGCCCUUGUUGACUCUUGGAAUAGAUCAAACUAUCAUCAAUGAAUACCAUCACAAAUUGCUCCAAAUAGGAUUUGAACACCCUAUUCAUGAGGCCCAUGAAGGCUGUAGGUGCAUCAGUCAACCUGAAGGGCAUGACCAAGAAUUCAUAAUGUCCAUAUCUUGUUUUGACGGCUAUCUUGGGCACAUCAUCCGUCUUAAUAUUUAGUUGGUGAUAGCAAGAGCGAAGGUCGUUUUUUGAGAAGACUUGUGCUUUCUGUAGCUAAUCGAAUAGAUCAUCAACUCUUGGCAAGGGUAUGUAUUCUGUGCUGUUACUUUCUUCAGCUCCUAAUAAUCAAUGUAGAGCCAGAAGCUUCCAUCUUUCUUCUUUGCAAAUAGUACAAAAGCACCCCAAAGAAAUACACCAGGCUGAAUGAAGCCCUUACUCAGUAACUCUUGCAAUUAUUCCUUCAUCUCUUUCAGUUCAGCGGGAGCCAUUCUGUAUGAAGUCUUAGAGGUGGGACUAGUUCCUGGAACCAAAUUAAUAGAGAACUCGAUCUUCCACUUUCAGGGUAGCCCUGCAAGCUCCUCAAUAAAGAUGUCAAGGAAUUCCCUCACAACUGGGAUAUCCUCCAACUUCUAUUCCUUUUGCUGAAUAUCCCUUACAACAACUAAGAAUCCUUCACAUCCCUUAGAAGCUUUUCGGCUGUAGAGUCGAGAUUAACUUUAAUGGAGGAUAUGACCAACUGCCUGAGAAGCUAAAUUUUAGCUAAUCUGGAAUAUGAAAGUUUACUAUUUUCUUAAAGCAAACCAUAGUGGCUUGAUAUGCUAUUAGCCAAUCCAUGCUGAGGAUCAUAUCAAAAUCCUUCAUCUCCAGCACUAACAGCUCUACCACCAUUUCUCUGUUCAUUGAUGCUAAGGGUGCAAGAUUUACAGAUAAAAUCCACAAAAAUAAGGUCACUGCUCGGAGUGGAGACUCCUAGAUCAAAAAAGUGGCACAGGUAGAAUUUAUUAUUUCUCCUAAUGAAAUGGAAAAAUAUAAAAGAAUGUAUAACACCAGGGUCAAACAGAACAUGGACCUAAUUAGAUGAUACCUUGAUCAUACCCAUUACACAUUCUCAUUUUGAGUUAAUCCCAACACAAGUUUUAUAUGAGAUUUACUUAUCAAAUAUGGUAAAAGAGAAGGUAACAUUAGUAAAUAGAUCACUGUGGAAUUGGAGGCAUUAGCAUCCUACUAAGUGAGUGCAUAAACUCUUCCUUGGGUCCUAGGCCUCUGCCGUCGUCCUCCUAGCUAUGGUCCUCUUUUCAGCAUCCUAUCUCUUUUUUUGCCUGGGUAUUUCAUUAAAUCCCUUCUCAACUACUAAUGCUUUGUUGACCACCACUUUGUACGUAGAGAGCUCAAAAGUGGAUACAUGUUGUCUGGUUUGGGCUCUGAGUCCAAUCUCAAAUUUCAAGCCUGAUCAUUCUUCUUUUCCACUAAUCCUAAACCAUAGCCGGCUAGCUCUUCAAAUUUGGCCACAUAUUGAGCGACCAUCAUAUUGACCUCCUUUAGGUGGCCAAAGUCCUCAUACUUCUAGUACCGGAUGUUGAAGGGAAGGUACUUUUUGCAAAAGGCCACUCCAAAGGCUUCCUUGUAACAGGUGCAGCAGCUACGCCCGACCUUUCCUCUUCUAUUUUCCACCAACUACGGGCUUCUCCUUGCAACAUGAAGGAAUACAUAGAUUUUUGACGACGACAGCCCCCACCCGAGGGUGGUGACGGACCGAGCUCUACGGCAUGCGGCAGAGAUCACCGACACCAUUGAGACUUCACCUGCUAAGUUGGUCAGGGACAUCUGGGGCCCCUAUUCUGCUCUUGCAGCGUCCAAGACGAUAUUGGUAUCCUGGGUGCCCCCACCUCUGACUUUCUCAAGGUGAACUUCAAUGGCAGCGUAGCAGAGGAUGGGAGCUACGGAGGUGUGAGAUUUGUUAUCAGGGAUCACGACGCCAGACUUGUAGCGGUAAGUGGGCGGAGAAUUUUUGACUCGUCAGUAGUGACCGCUGAGCUUCGGACGGCCUGUAAGGAUGUCUCAUGUUGUGGUUCAAAUUUGGCCCGAGGGUGACCAUGCUGGUGGAGUCGAGGGAGCCACCGGUAGUUGGAAGGAGAAGACGGGAGCCACCUCCUAUGCGAUGGCCGUGGACCUGCAUAAAGCCUCACCGGUGUUUCCGAUGAGGACCUUCCGACGAUCAAGUUAGAGUGGGGUAAAUUUGGUCCAGCCAAAAGUCCAUUAGAAGUUACCUGAGCGAGCUAUUUAUAGUCCUGGUGGAGAGGCCCAGAUGGUAGAGGCACUAUCGGCCCUCAUCAUGAGGGGGCGUGGCUCUGAGCUGGAUGGCGUGCAGCUUAGAUUGGUUGGUGGCAUAUAGUACUGCCCGUUCUUGAGAAUGGUAGGGUGUUGACAGUCACAGCAAGAUAUGGCCGGAGUAGUCAAGGUACCGUCUGACUGUUGAAGGCCGGCUAUGAAGACGUGGCAUGGUAGUGUGGUAAUGUACGGCCAUGUAAGUGGGCGUAGGCGCACACAUGGGUACGGUCGUUGGCGAGGCCGAGCUCGUUGAAAGGUCGCAUCAUGCGUUUGACGAGGUCGGCUUGACGGGUACUGAGAGUGGCUCGGCUUUCCGGGUUUCGAGGUGUGCUCGGUGGAGUGCCCCGAGCUCGAAGGUCGGGUGGUACUACUGAGAUAGAUGCCCUAAGUUUGGUCAGGGUGGGUCGGCGAAUACCGGAGGCACCCCGAACUUGGUCGGAGAAGUCGGCAAAUAUUUGAAGCUGGUGGGUCUUUUGGCGGAGUUCGAAGUCGAACUGACUCUGGGCCGAAGUGAGAAUUCAGCUGAUUGACGUUGAUGUUUAUUGGGCCAAAACUAGGCGGCCUUUUAGUUGUAGGUUGAACGAUCCAUUUUGCCCCCCAUCAUCUCCUAUGCAAGGCGAGUACUAGAUGCGGGUCGCAUACUCCUUGAGGGGGAUUCGACCACGGUGAUCGAGUGGAUCCGGAGACGGGGGUGCUCAGCUGAGGACCGGCCGCUGCUCCAUGAUAUUCGCAGAGCAUUGGAGGAGGUUGAUUUCUACCAAGCCACGCACGUAUAUCGGGAGGCGAAUGAUGCUGCAGACUGGGUUGCUUCCUUCGUGGCUCAUCACUCAGAAGGUUUUUUCUGGCUAGACCACGGGGCUGUGCCUAUGCCUUUGCGCAGCAUUUUGUUUUCUGACUUUGUUGGCUGUUUUCAGACUCCUCAGAUAUGAGCCGCCGAUGUACCAAAAAUAAAUAAAUAAAUAAAUAAAUAAAAUAAAAUAAAAUAAAAGGAGAGGUAAGAAACCUUCUCCUCGUGAAAGCAUUUCAACACCUCAAAGACUUGUUCUAUCUCACCCAGCCGGUUUUUGGCCCCAUAAGGAUUAUUAGAGGCACCCUAGAAGGCCGGCAGGACAAGUUUCUUAAAUUCCUCCAAGCUAGCACGAUGCUCUUGCUAGACCCCGAUACUUCUUUGCUUUUGGGGAGGAGACUGUUGAUGAUACUGUUACUGUUACCAGUGCAGUUAUUGUUGCAUAAACUGUUGCAUCAGCUGCUUCUGCUGUUCCAUCGUCCUCCUCAUAUUAGCCCAUGCAGCAGUUUGCUCUUGCACCAUUCCCAUGAGUGUUUGAAUUAACUGGAAGGAGCAGACUUGCUCUCCAAGGGCAAUCCUGGGUCCAUACAACCUCGCCCCUUAAGAGCUACCCCAGUGGGGUUGUUGAGAUCCCCAUACUGGUUAGUGCCGCUUGCUAGUGCGAAGGGAGCGCUAGUUUGCUGUUCAAGAGACUCCCAAGUAGUAGAGCCACCAGCAAACUGAGUCAGCCUCCGAACAUGUCCUCGUCCACUUCCACAAGCCAUCUUAGCCUACACUUAUGAAUAUUUACAUUCACAGUCACACCCCAACCAUGCACUCCAAGCAUCCUCUCAUAGACCUGGGCCUUGUCCAAGGGUCCUCAAAAUCCACCACUAUCAAAAAUAUUGCAAAGGCUUGCGAGGAUUAUGGCUUCUUUCAUAUUAGGAUACCUGAAGUUUUGCUAACGAGCAACACUAGCUACUAUUCAUGAUUAGCAUUCAUUCAAUUUUAUUUUCUGAAAUUAAAAUCUAUUUUCCAAAGAUCUAUAGCUAAUUUGUAACUAGCAAAUAUAGGUUGAUCAGUACUAUAGAAUAUCAUAAAGAGUCAGUUUUAAGUUUAAAAGAUGAACUAUUUUUGCAGUAUAAUAUAAUUUUCUAGGCCAUGAUCUCAGCAUGAUUGCUAAAGCAUGGACCGUUGGCUAAUGGACUUCCUUACUCUCAGAUGUAAGCAUUUAAACUUAUGGAAUGAGCAAGCGUUUCUAAAACAUCCAUUAUAAAUUGCUUUUCUUUAUCCCCUCUCUAUUUCCAUUUAGUUUAUACCAUUAUGUUUUGCUCUAAAAAUUCCUAGAUCGCAAACCAUGGAGUUCCCAAAGAUAUCAUGGAAGGAUGCAUGACAAGGGGAAGGAAUUCUUCGAGAUGUCAGUUGGAUACAGAUCCAGCCUCUACUCUGACUCAUUUGAGAUGGUUAGAAUAGCCACCAGUACAGCAUGCACAAAGAGAAAGUAAGGUCCUGGAGGAACUCCCUCAGAUACCCAUGCAAUCCUCUGUAUGUGCUGUGGAAUAAAAGGCCUAAGAAAUCGCUUGUUUGCAAGUAGUCAUUCAUGCAUCAAUCUUUAACUUACUAAAAUGUAUUUGAUUUCUAUUUUUCUUAUAUAUUGUUGUUGAUGUUUAUAGAGAGAUUGCAGUGGCAUACUCAGAAGAGAUCAGGGAAAUGGAAGCAAAGUUUUACUACAGAAAAAAUAAAAAAUUCCGACUGUAAUGAUCUGCCAAUGCUAAAAAGAAGCGUCGGAUAUGGUUACUGCACUAAAAUUUGUCGAUACUUUUUAGUAGCAUCAGUAUAUUACGACGCUUAAAAGUAUCGAAAAUAGAUUACAGGAUUUUACCGAUGCUUUUUGGCAAAUGUUGUUGAAAGCCAAAAAUUAGCCGACGCAUAUAGUCAUCGGAGAUACUUUAUUGAUGUUCGUGGUGGAUUGGAGAGAUAAGAUGAUGCAAAUAAGCGUCGUUGGAAGCUAAUAAAAAAAUAACACUUAUAAGCGUCAUUGGAAGCCAUAUAUCCCUCCAAAUUCCUACCCAACCUGCACUAUCAGUCCCUUUUGUUCCACACAACCACUGGCCAAGCUCCUCCUCUAGAGCUUGUGCCUUAUAAUGUUGUGCCAACUAAUUAACUAAAUGCUACAACAAGUUUGGUUAGGACGGAUAUUAAAAGAGAGAAUAAUAAUGCUUGAUUCUUAAUGGUAAGAAAUAUUUACGAUGCAUACAUUGUGGCGUCAAGCUUUUCUAGAUGGUAAAAAAAAACUAAUCACAAUUAUGAUCUCUUGUAUUGUUUCUUUUCCAGUUACAUCAAAAGCUCAGAGAGUCAUUUAAAGUAAUCCGUCUUAUUUUUAUUGCUUCCAUUUCUUUUCUUACUCGUUCCAGAGGGAUCAGUUGAACGUCUAUAGAUCGUGAUUUGAAUAUAAAGUGGAUUCCAGGGACAGCUGCUUCUAUAAACACAAGAAACGAUCUUGUGAAUUAUCAAUUUAUUCAGUAUUGAUUUUUAUUUAACUGAUAUUAAUUUUUAUUUAUGCAUACUAGAUAACAUCAUGUGCCGAAGAAAAUAAUUCAGAGAUAUGGAGUUUUAGCAUUCUCAAGCUGAAUCACCUUCUAAUCAAUUCUUGCAGUCCCAGCAGCCCCACGAUACCCAGCAUCACGAGCUACAGUCCCAGCACGAGCCUCCUACUAAUUACCGCAGAGAGGAGAUCAUUAUGGAUGACUUGCCAAUCCAGAAUAAUUGAAUUAAAAUAUUAUAUUUCUAUUACAAUCUAAAUAUUUUACUACAUUUGACUUCAAUUUAUUUAAUGCAUAUUUAAUAGUUUUGGACAUAGCUUUUUUUAUGUGUUUUUCAUAGAUGGACAAGAGAGAGUGAGGACGAGAUGGAAGCCACUCAAGUAAGGAAUGUGUGGCAGCUUCGUAAGGGUGAAAAGAUUGUCAUUUAAUGCAACAAACUGAGGCAACCCAUUAAGAGGGUUGGAAGCAUAUUAGCAAGUUUUCUAGGAUCGGUUGUGCGAAAAGGUCAGUUGUAUCCGCUCAACUAUCCUAAGUUGAAUCAUAUGCUUCCUACAUAUAAGGUUGAGCUUCUACGAGUUGUAUAGGUAAAAAAUUAAAUUUGAUAUUGUAUGUUAAUAUGCUAACUAUCAUAAUUAUAAUUUUUGAUGUAAUAUUGUUAUAACAUUCUUUACUUUGGUAUAGAGUAAGUUUGUGCCUCUUUUAGAGAGCCAUGAUUGAGAGCUAAAGUACCUCAACUGCAAAUGGAAAGAAUAUAAGGAGAAGUUGAACAGGGACUACAAGGGCGAGGGUAUGAUAGAGGAGGGGGUUGCUCAUAAGUGUUCUCCUGAUAUAUAUCCUCAUCAGUGGAGGAAGCUUUGUUUACUACUAGUUUUUCGAGAGAGAACUUAUUGUGUAUACUCUCUCAAUAUCUUAUAUUAUAUUUAUUAUUAAUAUAGAUUACAAAUAUAUAUAUCAAAUAUAUUAUAUUGUUUACUUUUUUGCUAGACAUAUUUCGAUAUUGCUAAAGCUGCACGAACAUCUCAAGCGGUUCUUCACCCAUCAUGCUCCAAGAGUUAUGCGAGGCGUAGAGAUAAAUUUGUAUAUUUGUUUGAAACUCUCUGUCAUUUUUCAAACUACUCAAUGAAACACUUAUAUUGGAACUCUUCUCAAGCGGUUACUUUUUGUUUUAUAUUGAAACACUUAUGUUUUUUAUUGAAACUAUGUAUCAUACAUUGUGCACUAUUUAUCGUGAUGCUUAUGAUUUUUAUUAAAACUCUUUGACUUCUUAAAUUCAAAUUGAAACUUUAAUUUUCAUAUUGAAAUAUGUAUCAUAUAUCAUGUAUCAUAUAAUGCGUAUCAUGAAUUAUAUAAUGUGCAUCAUGAACCAUGUAUCUUCUAUCAUAUAUCACGUAUUAUGGAUGAUGUAUCAUAUAACACAUAUUUUUUAUUAUAGAUGGAAGAGCAUGAUAGAGAGCCUGGUGAGGUGGAGUUCUACAAGAUGACUCAUACCCAUCGAGAUGGCAGCUUUGUGCGGAAGGAGUCAAGAGAGAUAGUUGUAUGUAUUGAUAAUCGAUUUGGCCAACAAUUUGUGGUUUUAUUUUUUCAAACAUUAAUAUGUGACUUUUUUCUUAAAUAUAGAAUAUGGCUAUAUCCCUUAUUGUGGAGCGUGUCGGAAAGUCAUCAUCAUAUGGUAAGAUCGGUCGCAUCAAAGCUCAGGUGUUCUCUAAAUUGAUGGGACCAGAGCGUUAUGGUCAAGUGAGGGGUUAUGGUAUUGGAGUUACUCCUACUCAGUUGUCUGCAGGGAGCAGAUAUAUCCAAGAUGUUAGACAUUAUAGUAGCACUAUAAAGGUUCGUAAUCUAAAGGCAAAGAUAGAGAAGAUGAGGCAGAGCCUCAGAUAAAGAUACAAUCUUUGAUGACUUAGCUUGACCAGAUUGCAUCCUUAUUGCAUAGGUUUGUCCCUCGUGAGGUAAAUAACUACGUUUAUUUGAAUAUUUUACAUAAUUAUUAUGUAUAUUUUUAUAUGAGCUUAAUGAUUUAUAAUACUUUAUGAUUUUUGUAUUCUCAACUUCUAAAAUUUUUAUCUUUUUUUUGCAAGUUCCUGAUACUUUCAGUGGUUAUAGAGAAGAUGAUGAUGAUGCCAUGGAUCCCUGAUAGCUCUUAAACUAUUUUUUUAGGAGUUUUAUGUGUAUAUUUUUAUAUUUUUCAAAGCACAUUGAGUUGUAAAUUGACUUUCAAUAAUGUUCGACAAUGUAAAUGUAAUCAUAUAAAUUUUGCUUAUAUAUAUAUUACAUAUGUUAUUAUAUAAUUUCUAUUAUAUGUAUUUGGUGUAUAUAUAUUUGUAUACAGAGUUUUAAUUUUUUAAAUAAUUUUUUAAAAAAAUAAUUUAUGCCUCCAGUAUUAAAAAAUGUUGGCAAAUUUUUAUACCAACGAUGCUUUAAAGCGUCAUUAAAAUAUACAUUAGCAACGCUAAUUUGCGUCAUUAAUUAGCAACGCAAAUAAGCGUUGCUAAUAUAAGAUGCUUUAGCGCCGACGUUUUUAAAAAGCGUUGGCAAUUAGCAAUGCAUAUAAGUGUCAUUUGUUAUAACUCGAUGCAAACCAAAAGCAUCAUAAAAUUAUUUUUCCACAGUAGCAUUGCCGACGCUUUUGUGACGCUUUAGAAAGCCUCGAAAAUCUGACUUGCGACACUUUUUCGCAUUGGCAAAUGCAUUAAAAAGCAUCAGCAAUACCAGAUGUUCUUGUAGUACUUCUUGCCUUGCUGUCUCUAGCCUUAAUCCUUGAAGAGGAGCAUUUUUCCAUUAAAUUUGGUGUAGAUCAUCCCCAAGUGAUGAGCUUGAACUACUAUCCUUUAUUCCCAACUGCUCCGAGAUGGGGAGUGGCUGAAUGUGGCUCUCAUCCCUAAUGUCUUUAUAGUUGAUGAGGAUGACAUAUUGGAGUUAACGCUUACCCCCAAAAUUGCUUCAAAUAAUGAUUAAAAUUUACCAUAGAAGGAUUGCUUAUAGAAACAUAUAAAUCAAACAGUUCUUUGAGCUAAAACAUAGAAAAAGAAGAUUAGGAAUGUCAUUUCCCUCCUAGAUAAAUGCUCAGGUGAAUGGUAAACUUAUUAUUCUUUGGUGCUUUGUCGGUCUCGAGCCAUGGGAAGUUCAAGAGGAAUGAACAUCCGAGUACUAACAAACUCAUUCACAACUUGAUCAACAAUUUUGUCCUUCAAUCACCUACAUAAGGGUGAUGUCAUCACCCCUCUAAAUGCAUUGGUUGAUAAGAAACAUCCACCUCUCAUGAUCUAUCUCAUCGAUCUAUUUCUGUGUUUGAAGGCAUGUAAUAUUUAAAAAAAAAAUAGAGUCUAUUUAGAUAUUCCUAUAGGACUCAUCUGAAAAUUUUGGAAGAAUUGAGUCUAUUGGUCUGUCCAACUCACAUCUUUUAAGCGUUGGUUCAAAUCCCAGCCUAAAUCCUUAGUCUAUAGACCUCUUAGGCUCCAGAAAGAGGAAAAGACCCAUAAAUGUGUUUUUUCCUUCCCAUGGGAUUUAGGCCAGAAGAUGUUUGGUUGAUAGAGCCAUGCUAAAAUGGGCCAUCUGAUUUAUUAAUCUAGCCGAAAAUUUGGCUCAAUCCUGUUGAAUUACCCAAACAAGCUUUUAAAUUAGGUUUUUAAAAGUAUGAUGCUACCCCAGUCUUUGAGGAAGCAAAGAAAUUUUAGUAAGACUGACGUGAUAACAACUGCUCCACAGCGUCUUUGGCUACAUGUACUUUAGACGAAAAUAAACUAUUAAACUCUUAUAUAAUAGGAGAUUGGCUAACUGCUUACUUAUUUUGCCGCCUCUACCUCAAGCUUGCAAAUUAAACUACCAAAUAUGCUUGGAGAAAAUGUUCCUCAAAUUGUUGGGACACUGCAUGUAGACUGUAGUCACAGUUACAGUUCAGGCAAAUUUUCCAUCCUAUCUAUAUGCAAUUUUGCGAAUAAUAUAAUGAAAAUGCCUAAUUUUUUGAAAUAUGCAUAUUGUGGAGCCUUGAAGCCUCAAUUCUUUCACACAAAACUUCCUUCUUGAAAAAAGAAAAAAAAAAGGUAAGUCCCAAUCCCAAGGUUGACCUGAGACAUGGACUUUCCCCGGGGAAAAAUCUCUGGUCUGUGAUACCCAGGAUUUUUACCUGUAAAAGGCCUCAGAAUAUGUUAAACUUGCAUUUUUUUUGGAGAAAUUUAGGGUUUGGUGACCAUUAAGCUAAUAUCAUGAUUCUCCGUAUCAUCUCGCAUAUCAUACCAUAUCAGUAACAAACCAAUAUUUAACACAAGAAGCGACCAAAAUAUUGAUGUCAUGAAUUAACUGUACUGAAACCUGUAGCAGUAUGGCAAUGGUAUGGAUACCCAAAUCUUUAUUUUGAACCAUGACUAACACCGGGAUCCAAGAGGCAGUGAUUACAUUAGCAGCUGGUCCCAAGGAAUUUUUCAAGUCAUGGUUUAUCUGAGGAUUAAAAGCUGACUGACUUCUUAAAAGCAAACAUAUCCUGAUGUCUUCCCAGAGACUAAGAUGGUGGAGAUCCAAAUUUCUACCAACAUAGCAUAUGGAGAUCACAUAUUUUUUUAGAAAAAAUACAAGACUCCGAUGUCAAAUGUGACAGCAGACUUCUAAGAAAAAGAAAUCGCACAAUAUAUAGCUGAAUUGGAUUGAGCAAUGCUAUGUCAACUCAGAAAAAUCGCUCAAAAAAGUCACUCAACUUCUUGCACCAUUCAUGUUGCUUCAUUAUGUGGCACCAUUCACAAUGCAAACUCAUAAACAGCACCAAGCAGGCUCAUCAAAGUUCUGCAUAAAAUCUCGUACAAGCUCCAAGGGGGCAUGAUUCAACAAGAAACAUAAACGGAAUAUAACACAAAUCAUAAUUGUAUUCAACGAUCUCAGAGUCUUCUAUAAAUGGUGGGAGUCUUUCUCUUCAUCCAUGCAAGGAAAGAGGGGAGAAAAUAUCAGGAUAGUCAAAAAAAUCACCUUGUGCACUCUGCUAACUCCAAAAAGCUUGAGUCUUGCAUACAUUUAUCAUACAUCAAACAAGGAGACCUAUGCAUCUGUGACCAUGCCUUCAGCAAAUUCCUUCAUCAUCAUCAUUCAUUGAAAAAGAAAAACAAAGAAAGUCUGAAACCUCAAGAACAGCAUCUUGCUCCACCAGCACUGACCAAAGAUCUAUCUCACCAUCACUUUCUGAAAGUGCGUGGUCAGAUNNNNNNNNNNNNNNNNNNNNNNNNNNNNNNNNNNNNNNNNNNNNNNNNNNNNNNNNNNNNNNNNNNNNNNNNNNNNNNNNNNNNNNNNNNNNNNNNNNNNNGCGGUGAAAUCUCCUACAACACUUCAAUACAUUCCAAAGGUUUCAAACCAAAAGGACAGUUACUAAAUUGGUUUUGGAGCAAAAUACAUGCAUCAUUUCACAUCACUCAGUUUGUAAGCUCGGAAGAAGACCAGCAUCCAUUCAAUAAAGAGGGACCUGCUACUGUAGCCAAACCAUUUCCAACUGCUGGCCUAGCUGCAUCCAUAAAUUGGUGAAAGUCAAUAUAUCAGAUUUAUGCAUUACUAAAACAUAAGGACAUGCAAUAUGUGUAAGUUGAUCAAAAUCUAGAACCAGUUUUAAGGAGCCUGGGACCGAUGAACUAUUUCUUAAUAAGGUUAAUUGGGGACCAGAAAUAGAAUAAAGAUGAACAUAAGUCAGACUCGAAGAAUCUAAAAGGCCAUAAGGGAUGAUACACUCCAAAUAAAAAUGGACUAAUAUUGCAUGGGUCAUCCUUUCUUAAUAAAGCAAAACAAGAUCUGUAUUGGACGCUGGAAACAGAACAAAGGUAAUACAGGAACAAGUCUGAUGGCGGAGGAGAUUAUGAUGUAACAAGCAAGAAUACAUCAAAAAUAGACAUCGGAUCAGUUGUCAUUUCAAUUUGUUGAUGAAGGUGCCAACCAUGUGGUAGGCAUGCAGAUCCUACUGCCCUACAGGCGCAUGGCACAACUGUAUCCCAGAACGCCAGUGCUUGCACACUAUGAUGCCAGGGUUUAACAAGCAGCGACAUGGUAAGGCAUGUCACAUGUUAUGCCAGUGUCGAGCCAGCAUACAGUACUUAAAACCUUGUCUGGGUUAACAAUUGAAAAGUGAAAACCCCAUUUCAUAUCAACUAUACGGAGUGGUACAAUAAUCAUGAUAAACCAGCAUUAGUUUUAAAGUUAGGAGAACCUAGCAAUGAUAUGUGAGAGGGGUUUUCAUAUCAACUCCUAAACAGAGUGGUACAAUAAUCCUGAGAAACUAGCAUCAGUUUUAAAGUUAGGAGAAUCUAGCAAUGAUAUGACGACUCCUUGAAACUAAUAGAGAGGAAGAAUUUAUUAUAUAAAUGGGGCUUGGCUUGUUCAUACAGUACUUCAUAAUGGUUAGGGACAGCAGAUUUCUGUGAAGAAAUUAUGUGAUAAUCAUGAUACUCACUUGCAGUAAUUUUAAAGUUCAUCAUCAUCAUCAUCAUACGGUCCCAAACAAAAUCAUCUACCUUCAAGCUAUCUACCUUUCAUAGCUUGAGAGACAACACAACCAUUCUCAUCUAGAAAUGACAUAUGAAACACCUUGUCCAAAAAUGAUAGGGAAUUCAUAAAGCUAAUUCUACACAAACGGGAUCUGGCUUUCUGGUUAUGUUACUUCAUAUGAUGGGUAUAACUUAAAGGUACAACUAACCAAAGAUCAAGACUAAUUAUAGAUACUUCGUACCCAAUUCCACCUAUGCAAUAGUUGCUUCCAAAUCCCCCAAGUACCAUGCUCAUGACUAAGUGACUUAUUACAUUGAAAUUGAGAAUAUAUAUAUAUUCUUUAAGAAAUCCAUAACUGGAAAAAUAAGUUCAUUGUCCUAUACACAAAUGAGCAGUUGUCAGUGGAACCAAGAGUAUCCAAAACUUCAGACAUUCCUCACAAAUAAUUUAUCCAGCAAAGUACAUCCAAACAAGCUGGCUUACAUAAUAUUUGUUGUCAAAUCACCCAAACAAUAAUAUUAUUAUUACCCCAUGGCAUAGUUAUAUCUCCACCGAGAAACACAGGAUAAAAUGAAAAGAAAAUCUUAUCCCUUGGGUUUGCAGCCGGAUUUCAUUCAGCCAACUAAGGCAUAUGUGGAGACUUACUCUCUGGCCUACUUUUGUCGGAGGACCCAGAUAAGGUCAAAAGGAGAAUAGCUGUCACAGCAAUCACAAUCUCAGAACAAAAAUGACCUUUUUGUUUUUAGUUUCAAAAGUUUCCAUAGAAAAAGAUGACAUUUCUUAAAACUGGGAUUAACAGCACUAAGAACUUUGGAAUUAAAGGCACUAUGGUGUCUACCAGCCAGCCAAUAAUGUCAGCCUAACUUUCUUACCAUUGUGGUCCCUAAAGUGCUGCCUCAUAAUAUAGUUUAUCUACCGCACUUUUCCGUUUAUUGUUAUUCCAUAAAAUCCUAAAAAGAUUCCUAACCAGCGAGACGGAUGGACUGACACUUUGUUCGCUAAAGGGCUCGGCUGAAACUGAGACAGGGAUUUUGUUAUUUGCAGAUGUUUGACUUCCUUCUCCCACAUCUCCUCCUAUUUUAUUUUCUUUUUU